ensembl:lncRNA
CAAACCCAGAGAAUGCAUUCAAUCAAAUGAACCGAUCUUGUAGAAACACUGGAAUCAUUUAUGCAUUGCAGUUUCUCUUUCUUGUUUUCGCUCCUUCUUUCCUGGGAUAUUUUGAGUGGAUUGUGGCUAUUAAUCAAGAUCUCGUGCUAUUCGUGGGUUGCUUGUCGUUUUCGCUCAGGAUUAGCAUCAUUCAAGGCAAACGCAAAGCUGUUUUUUUUUCCCCUACUCUUUUCUGAAAAAUCAUUUUUGGGGGCUGCUGAAGAGAGCUAGGACCCAGGAGACACCUUCCCAAACAGCAGGGGUUGUGUGCUUUCACACAGCAGUACUGUACAAGGAAAACCCCGUCGGAUCUGUUAUUGCGGGAUACUUGUGAAAUAUCAUAGGAUUCUUUCUUAUGGCUGCAUCCCGGAUCUGGAAAUUUUACUUGGGGACCAAGAGGAUCUGAAGGGCUACAUGUAUACAGAAGAUUUGCAAGCAAGACUCCGAUUCUUGUCAUAGAGCUCUCAGACUUCCUCACUUACCGGCCUUUUUCCUUCCUCCUUUAAAAAAAAAUUUCUUCCCUCUUUUUCUGCUCUCUCCUCUCUCAGUGUCUCCUUCUCUAUCUGCCUCUUCUUUUUUCUCCUAGUCGUCUUUUCCCCCCCUGCUCUGCACCUGGAUUGUAUCUUCACCAAACAAUCGGGCACUUUGAGAACUAACUGGAGGCAGUCUUGUAGGGAAGAGCUGUAUGGAAUUAUCUGCUUUUAUGGUGAACUUGGCAUUUGUGAAUGGGUAUCUUGUUCACGAUAUUAAUUGCUAGCAAAAACAAGAAAAAGAACACAGGAGUAAAACGUGGAUUUUUCUGAAUACGCAUUGUGAUGACCAGCAAUUACCUUGCCGACUGAUAUCCAGAGGAGAAUAAUUUGGAAGACUGUUGUGGGAGCUAUGUAGGUGGCAUGAAGAGGAGUGAUGCCUAGUGGGACAGACUGCAUCAGAAGCUCUUUAAACCUCAUAUGUAUUUCUUAAUAUGUUCAGAUAUUCACCUCCUCCUGUCAAAGUUCAUUGUUUUUCUUACCACUAGAAAAAGGGUGAGCAAUGGAAGAAGAACGGGAAAGAGAAGAAUGGCAAACUUCACGUUAUUGUCUGGAUGCUCCUUAGAUCUAAAUAUUGGGAUUUCAAGAGACGCUUCAGAGAACUUUAAAACUUUCAAUAAUGUUUUAAAUACCUGGGGAAUAAAAACAAAAACCAAGAGUAAUAAUGUUGGAGGAAGAGGCAGUGGAAAGGAACAGAGAAUAGGAGCAAAAGGAAAAACAAAGGUGACUGGACAAAAAGAUUCAAGCAAUUUGCAUGGGAAAGUGGCAGUAGAGAGAUUACCUUUAUGUUCCACUCUUGAAAUUUUGCAAAGCGUUUGAACAGAAUUCUCAAAAUGAGAAGGGAAUCCCAGCAAAGCAAGAAGGGGUGAAGUGGCUGAGAAGGGCCAGUACCAGUGGUAUGUGACUCCAGGAUCUACUGAAAGAAGUUUGCAUUGCAGGUCCAUUUGUAGAUCUUGAUCUACACAUCAGAGACUCAAUAGUUAACUUUACUCACUAAGAUAAAGGUCUUAUUUAUCUGAUUUUAACAGAUGUAAUAAAAU